AUAAACUACACCUGGGGGUAUGUGAAAGCAUCUUCUUCAGUGUUGUAUAUUAACCACCUGUUUACUAUUACCAGUUGCUUCCGUGGAACUAGGGUGCUCUUUCUGUUCGCAGCUUGGAGUUACCUUCCACGGGUAUCUAAAUAAAUGUCAUUGCUGAAUUGUCUGAAAAAAUUUAAAAAGUUA
rnacentral:misc_RNA from 1 species